rnacentral:rRNA from 1 species
GGCGUGCUUAACACACGCAAGUCGAACGGAAAGGCCCUGCUUUUGUGGGGUGCUCGAGUGGCGAACGGGUGAGUAACACGUGAGUAACCUGCCCUUGACUUUGGGAUAACUUCAGGAAACUGGGGCUAAUACCGGAUAGGAGCUCCUGCUGCAUGGUGGGGGUUGGAAAGUUUCGGCGGUUGGGGAUGGACUCGCGGCUUAUCAGCUUGUUGGUGGGGUAGUGGCUUACCAAGGCUUUGACGGGUAGCCGGCCUGAGAGGGUGACCGGCCACAUUGGGACUGAGAUACGGCCCAGACUCCUACGGGAGGCAGCAGUGGGGAAUAUUGCACAAUGGGCGGAAGCCUGAUGCAGCAACGCCGCGUGCGGGAUGACGGCCUUCGGGUUGUAAACCGCUUUCGCCUGUGACGAAGCGUGAGUGACGGUAAUGGGUAAAGAAGCACCGGCUAACUACGUGCCAGCAGCCGCGGUGAUACGUAGGGUGCGAGCGUUGUCCGGAUUUAUUGGGCGUAAAGGGCUCGUAGGUGGUUGAUCGCGUCGGAAGUGUAAUCUUGGGGCUUAACCCUGAGCGUGCUUUCGAUACGGGUUGACUUGAGGAAGGUAGGGGAGAAUGGAAUUCCUGGUGGAGCGGUGGAAUGCGCAGAUAUCAGGAGGAACACCAGUGGCGAAGGCGGUUCUCUGGGCCUUUCCUGACGCUGAGGAGCGAAAGCGUGGGGAGCGAACAGGCUUAGAUACCCUGGUAGUCCACGCUGUAAACGGUGGGUACUAGGUGUGGGGUCCAUUCCACGGGUUCCGUGCCGUAGCUAACGCUUUAAGUACCCCGCCUGGGGAGUACGGCCGCAAGGCUAAAACUCAAAGGAAUUGACGGGGCCCCGCACAAGCGGCGGAGCAUGCGGAUUAAUUCGAUGCAACGCGUAGAACCUUACCUGGGUUUGACAUGGAUCGGGAGUGCCCAGAGAUGGGUGUGCCUCUUUUGGGGUCGGUUCACAGGUGGUGCAUGGCUGUCGUCAGCUCGUGUCGUGAGAUGUUGGGUUAAGUCCCGCAACGAGCGCAACCCUUGUUCACUGUUGCCAGCACGUUAUGGUGGGGACUCAGUGGAGACCGCCGGGGUCAACUCGGAGGAAGGUGGGGAUGACGUCAAGUCAUCAUGCCCCUUAUGUCCAGGGCUUCACGCAUGCUACAAUGGCUGGUACAGAGAGUGGCGAGCCUGUGAGGGUGAGCGAAUCUCGGAAAGCCGGUCUCAGUUCGGAUUGGGGUCUGCAACUCGACCUCAUGAAGUCGGAGUCGCUAGUAAUCGCAGAUCAGCAACGCUGCGGUGAAUACGUUCCCGGGGCUUGUACACACCGCCCGUCAAGUCAUGAAAGUUGGUAACACCCGAAGCCGGUGGCCUAACCGUUGUGGGGGAGCCGUCGAAGGUGGGACUGGUGAUUAGGACUAAGUC